rnacentral:rRNA from 1 species
UGGGGAAUAUUGCGCAAUGGGGGGAACCCUGACGCAGCAACGCCGCGUGCAGGAAGAAGGCCUUCGGGUUGUAAACUGUUGUCGCAGGGGAAGAAGGAAGUGACGGUACCCUGUGAGAAAGUCACGGCUAACUACGUGCCAGCAGCCGCGGUAAUACGUAGGUGACAAGCGUUGUCCGGAUUUACUGGGUGUAAAGGGCGCGUAGGCGGGAUAGCAAGUCAGCCGUGAAAUGCCGAGGCUUAACCUCGGAGCUGCGGUUGAAACUGUUAUUCUUGAGUAUCGGAGAGGAAAGCGGAAUUCCUAGUGUAGCGGUGAAAUGCGUAGAUAUUAGGAGGAACACCAGUGGCGAAGGCGGCUUUCUGGACGACAACUGACGCUGAGGCGCGAAAGUGUGGGGAGCAAACAGG